UACGGAGGGGACUAGCGUUGUUCGGAAUUACUGGGCGUAAAGCGCACGUAGGCGGAUUUGUAAGUCAGGGGUGAAAUCCCGGGGCUCAACCUCGGAACUGCCUUUGAUACUGGGGAUCUCGAGUCCGGGAGAGGUGAGUGGAACUCCGAGUGUAGAGGUGAAAUUCGUAGAUAUCAGGAGGAACACCGGUGGCGAAGGCGGAUCUCUGGGCCUUACCUGACGCUGAGGCGCGAAAGCUAGGGGAGCGAACAGG
rnacentral:rRNA from 1 species